ensembl:lncRNA
GGGUGAUAAGAAGUAGAGGAAUGAUGAGUGUCCAGCGCUCAUUGCGAGCAUAGCUAAACAUAAGGCACAGAAAUGGAGUAGCAAAGGUCUUUUAGUGUACAGCCUGCUGGAAACCAUUAGAAGAAGAAGGAAUAGCAAAGUGAACAGAUAUGGAUUACAUGUGGGGAAACACAAGACCUGUAGAGGGCAGUAAUACGUCUCUGAUGCGUCUCGGCUGCUGGAAAUUCAGAAGAAGAAGAACAAAGAUGGCGACCCUGUUUAGUAACAAACCAGCCACAGUAAUCUUCAGUAGCACUUAAAGACGUCUUUGUUUAUCGUCGUUGUUCGGUGUUAAAAGACCACCGGAGGGAGAAUGGCUCACCGCUACCUGCGGCUGUCAGCGGGAUGUCGGAGCUUGUUCCGCCUGCUGUCGCCCUCUGGAGCUCCCAGCAGAACGGUGGGCUCUUGGACCGCUGUGGACCAGGUGGAGAGAGAGCAGACUCUGCUAAAAGACCUGCUGGGAGCCUACAGGACCCUCUGCUCCAAGCCCCCCAAAGGUAGGGGCGUGUGUGUGGGUGUGUGUAUGUGACUGUGUCCAACCUCUGUCAUACUGUUAUGUUCAUGUUGUGUAAUGAUGUGUUUUUGUGCUUCAGGUUUUGAGAAAUAUUACCCAGACAGUAAGAAAACUCCUGAAAACACUGAAGCAGAGUCGUCUGCUAAAG